UCAAGACUUAGGAGACUUCUCACAUUAUAGCUUUUUUUUUUUCUCUUUAAAGAAUUAUUUUUUGAAAUUACCAAAUAAAAAGCAUAGUGUAACAUGGCCUUCAACAGAGUCUGAGUUGAUGGGGGAACAUCCAGAGAUCUUGGAGACCAUGCCGCAGUGCCUUCUGGGAACUCUAUAAGCCAUCUCAGAGACAAGCCUUCACCUUCACACCUGCCAAUAGAUGCUGCACAUGCCCAGCUCACUGGAUAGUUCCGUGUCUAAGACGUCUGGGGUCCACCCACUGAGUCUUUUCUCUUUCCAACAUUACUAUUUUGUUUAGGAAAAUAUUGUUUUAUUUGGACAAACAGUCUAACCUGAAGUAAGAAAACAGUCAACGUGUCUGUGACUAAACUUGACUUAGUCAGGAUUUCUAUUGCUGCCAUGAAACACCAUGAGCAAAAGCAAGUUGGGAAGAAAAGGGUUUGUUUGGUUUACACUUCUACAUUGUAGUCUACCAUUGAAGGAAGCCAGGACAGGAACUCAAUCAGAUUAAGCUCCUGCCUCCUAGAGGCAGGAGCUGACCCAGACGCCAUGGAGGAGAACUGCUUACCGCUUGUUCAUCACAGCUUGCUCAGCCUGCUUAAAGAGCCCAGGACCACCAGUCCGGGAGGGGCCCCACCCAUAGUGAGUUGGGCUCUCCCCCUUCAAUCACUAAUUAAGAAAAUAUC
rnacentral:lncRNA from 1 species